AGAAGCUUGCUUCUUUGCUGACGAGUGGCGGACGGGUGAGUAAUGUCUGGGAAACUGCCUGAUGGAGGGGGAUAACUACUGGAAACGGUAGCUAAUACCGCAUAACGUCGCAAGACCAAAGAGGGGGACCUUCGGGCCUCUUGCCAUCGGAUGUGCCCAGAUGGGAUUAGCUAGUAGGUGGGGUAACGGCUCACCUAGGCGACGAUCCCUAGCUGGUCUGAGAGGAUGACCAGCCACACUGGAACUGAGACACGGUCCAGACUCCUACGGGAGGCAGCAGUGGGGAAUAUUGCACAAUGGGCGCAAGCCUGAUGCAGCCAUGCCGCGUGUAUGAAGAAGGCCUUAGGGUUGUAAAGUACUUUCAGCGGGGAGGAAGGGAGUAAAGUUAAUACCUUUGCUCAUUGACGUUACCCGCAGAAGAAGCACCGGCUAACUCCGUGCCAGCAGCCGCGGUAAUACGGAGGGUGCAAGCGUUAAUCGGAAUUACUGGGCGUAAAGCGCACGCAGGCGGUUUGUUAAGUCAGAUGUGAAAUCCCCGGGCUCAACCUGGGAACUGCAUCUGAUACUGGCAAGCUUGAGUCUCGUAGAGGGGGGUAGAAUUCCAGGUGUAGCGGUGAAAUGCGUAGAGAUCUGGAGGAAUACCGGUGGCGAAGGCG
rnacentral:rRNA from 1 species